GGGAGAAGGAACGAUGGAGGCCCCAGGUGGAAAACAUUUUCUACUGGGGAAGCCUGCAGAGGGAGGAGGACUCCUCUUCUCAGCCCAGCUGCAGUGAGGCCAUGUUAGUAGUGUGCAAGAGCAAGGCCUGCUAGAAGGGGAGACCGCUCAUCAGAGGCUGAGGACAUCCUGAACAGGGCCCAGGCGUUGAGGCUGGCCACAGGGGUCUCUGUGAGUGGCCCAGCCGGAGGACAGACGAAAGCUCUGUCAGAGCAGAGGAAGAAAUGUCACGAGGAAGGUGGAGGAACAGGCUCCUAGACAAACACAGAGACUCUCUGGCCCUAUCCUUCCUGCUCUCAGACCUCAGCCCGGAAGCCCUCAUGCUGGUUUAAUCUCCAUGUUUCUUGCUGCAAUUUCCGCUGCCGUCUUCAGGGGUGGCGAGAAUCCAUCUUUGAUUCUUGCAAUCUUGAGCCCCAAGUCUGACCACGUUAGCUUUGCUGAGGACAAGAUCCUCUUCUUUCUAGAAGAACAAUAUUCCGGAGGAGCUCUUGUUGACAGAUUUCAAGCAGAAUCUUCUGCUAGUCCACACUGCCUCAGACCUACAGCCACCAUCAGUCCUCACGGCCAUCUGCCUGCCUCUGGUCACUUCAAGACAUCUCCCACAGACAGGACCCUAUUCCUGAACGCCUCCAGUGAGGGGGAGUUUCUUGCUUGUUGGAGCAACUGUAGCAGCAGCUCUGAGACACGGGUAUUGCUAUUCCCUUCUUGCAGAGGAGGAAGCCGACUCGGGAGAAGUAAUUGCCCAGGCUUAUCUGUGCAUCGGAUGUGCUAUGUCCACUCACUCGUUUCCCUCAUUACGAAGCUCUUCUUGAGGUCUAACCUAGACCUUUCCUGUUGCCGUGACCCUGGCUCCUUCUCAGUCCUGUGGAGGCAGAGCAUGGUAUCCCUGCCCAUGCCAACUUUUCUCACUUUAGGAAUGUCCACCAGCUCUUUGCAUGUUACUGACUCAAAAUGAAUAUUAAACACCAAACCUC